rnacentral:rRNA from 1 species
GCAAGUCGAGGGGUAACAUUGGUGCUUGCACCAGAUGACGACCGGCGCACGGGUGCGUAACGCGUAUAGAACCUACCUUUCACUAAGGGAUAGCCCAGAGAAAUUUGGAUUAAUACCUUAUAGUAUUAUUGAUUGGCAUCGAUUAAUAAUUAAAGAUUUAUUGGUGGAAGAUGGCUAUGCGUUCUAUUAGUUAGUUGGUAAGGUAACGGCUUACCAAGACAUCGAUAGAUAGGGGUCCUGAGAGGGAGAUC